rnacentral:rRNA from 1 species
UACGAAGGGGGCUAGCGUUGUUCGGAAUUACUGGGCGUAAAGCGCACGUAGGCGGAUUUUUAAGUCGGUGGUGAAAUCCCGAGGCUCAACCUCGGAACUGCCUUCGAUACUGGGAAUCUAGAGUUCGGGAGAGGUAAGUGGAAUUGCAAGUGUAGAGGUGAAAUUCGUAGAUAUUUGCAAGAACACCGGUGGCGAAGGCGGCUUACUGGACCGAUACUGACGCUGAGGUGCGAAAGCGUGGGGAGCAAACAGG